GCUCUCGUAGCUCAGAGGUAGAGUACUUGGUUGAAGCCCAAGGGGUCGAAAGCUCAAAACUUUCCGGGAGCA
rnacentral:tRNA from 2 species